UGUAGCUCAGUGCAGAGCACCUGUCUAGCAGGCAGCAGGCCCUGGGUUCAAUCCCUAGCA
rnacentral:tRNA from 1 species